AUUGGAGGGGGACAGUCUGGUGCGCGAGCGCUUUGCAUGGCUGGACGCGAGUUACCCGAUGGAUUGUAGAGGGCAAGAUGGUGCAGGCAGCAGCACACACAACAGACCCAGCAAACACAGCAGACCCAGAAAACACAAAAACCGGGCGCAUCAACGCCCGGCUGUGGGAAAGCGCGGUCGAUGUAACCGCGCGGUAGCUCCCCCGCUUUUGUCUGCUGGAGCUUAGUCUUCCGACUCGCCCGAACCAUCGCGGUUUUCGGCAUGUGCCUUGCGGGCAGCCUCCAGCCACUCUGGCAUUUCGGCGAGGAGCUCCUUGAUCUCGGCGGUGGUCAUCGGACGAUCCACGUCAUUCUUCUUAAGGGCCGUGACCGAGAUGCCGAGCUUCUGCGCGACUACCGGGCGUGGGUGCGGACCCUCAAGGCGCAGCUUGACCAGCCACUCCGGCGGAUUGUCCUGUAAUUCGCGCAGCUCCGCGUGCGAUACUGCGUUAUUUUGGAAUUCUUCCAGGGGAGGGCAAGUGAAAAGCCAGCAGCCGCGGUAAUUCCAGCUCCAAUAGCGUAUAUUAAAAUUGUUGCAGUUAAAAAGGUCAUAGUUGAACCUUGGGUUAGCAUGGCCGGUCCGCCCCACUCAGAGUAAUGGUCCGGCUGGACCUUUCCUUCUGGGGAACCUCAUGGCCUUCACUGGCUGUGGGGGGAACCAGGACUUUUACGCCCAAAAAAUUAGAGUGUUCAAAGCAGGCCUUUGCUCGAAUACAUUAGCAUGGAAUAAUAGAAUAGGAAAUGCGGUUCUAUUUUGUUGGUUUAUAGGGCCGCCGUAAUGAUUAACAGGGAUAGUUGGGGGGGUCCCUAUUCCGCCGUCAGAGGUGAAAUUGUUGGAUUUGCUGUAGAGUGAGCACCGGGAUAGCUCGUGCCCUAGAAACAUCUAAAACAUCCACGCAAGUGCUAGGAUGGCAGACGAAUAGGAAUCGAGGCCAGCUUGG
rnacentral:rRNA from 1 species